UGACGCUGGCGGCAGGCCUAACACAUGCAAGUCGAGCGGUAGAGAGAAGCUUGCUUCUCUUGAGAGCGGCGGACGGGUGAGUAAUGCCUAGGAAUCUGCCUAGUGGUGGGGGAUAACGUUCGGAAACGGACGCUAAUACCGCAUACGUCCUACGGGAGAAAGCGGGGGACCUUCGGGCCUCGCGCCAUUAGAUGAGCCUAGGUCGGAUUAGCUAGUUGGUGAGGUAACGGCUCACCAAGGCGACGAUCCGUAACUGGUCUGAGAGGAUGAUCAGUCACACUGGAACUGAGACACGGUCCAGACUCCUACGGGAGGCAGCAGUGGGGAAUAUUGGACAAUGGGCGAAAGCCUGAUCCAGCCAUGCCGCGUGUGUGAAGAAGGUCUUCGGAUUGUAAAGC
rnacentral:rRNA from 1 species